UAAGAUGAUCUUGUAAGUGUUAGAUUAUCGCUCAUAAAAAAGGCUAUAUAAGGUUAACAUAUACAUCCCCGCAAAAAAAAGGUUAACCUAUACAUGCUAUUUAUCUCUUAUAAUAUCUAUCUUUGCAAAGGAAAAAAAAUGUAGAAUAAAACCAAAUAUCAUCUAUGGAAUAAAAACUUAGUACCGUUAUCUAAAAUAGUACAUCAUAAAUCAUCUAUCCUAUCAUCAGUAUGCAGUAUGCAGUAUAUCAUUUGUCAUAGCUGGAAAGAGACCAUGCAUCAUAACCAAUAUGGAGAAAGUAAGGAAGGG
rnacentral:lncRNA from 1 species